rnacentral:rRNA from 1 species
UACACAUGCAGUCGAGCGGAUGAAGGGAGCUUNUCGCGANUUAGCGGCGGACGGGUGAGUAUAUGCCUAGGAGUCUGCCUGGUAGUGGGGGACAACGACUCGAAGGGUCGCUAAUACCGCAUACGUCCUACGGAGAAGUGGGGGAUCUUCGGACCUCACGCUAUCAGAUGAGCCUAGGUCGGAUUAGCUAGUAGGUGAGGUAAUGGCUCACCUAGGCAACGAUCCGUAACUGGUCUGAGAGGAUGAUCAGUCACACUGGAACUGAGACACGGUCCAGACUCCUACGGAGGCAGCAGUGGGGAAUAUUGGACAAUGGGCGAA